UCUAAUCAUCGCCCAAUGGUGCUCAGUGGCAUUAUAGGAGCUAUGAGUAAUACAAAAAUCAGAAGUAUUCCAAUCACAUUGCAUUUGAAUUCUAUGCUCCAAAUUCAUAAUCCAAUCUCCCAUCCAAAUUACUGUUUGACAGAGAUCAUUAAUUUGAUUUGCCAAUUUUUGAUCUAUUUGGCUUUGGGAAUUCCAAAGCUUAGAAGAAUUUUUCUGCCAACUAUCCACAAAGCCUGCAGUUUGAAUAGAAGAGUGCAAAGCAACAGCAGCAGCAGCAGUAGCUGUAACAGCUAUAAGGCCCAGGAUCACAGCUAUUAAAGCCUUUUCCAGGAAUAUAGCCCAUGUUUGACAUUAUUUUUUGA
rnacentral:lncRNA from 1 species